rnacentral:rRNA from 1 species
CCUACGGGGGGCAGCAGUCGAGAAUCAUUCACAAUGGGGGAAACCCUGAUGGUGCGACGCCGCGUGGGGGAAUGAAGGUCUUCGGAUUGUAAACCCCUGUCAUGUGGGAGCAAAUUAAAAAGAUAGUACCACAAGAGGAAGAGACGGCUAACUCUGUGCCAGCAGCCGCGGUAAUACAGAGGUCUCAAGCGUUGUUCGGAAUCACUGGGCGUAAAGCGUGCGUAGGCUGUUUCGUAAGUCGUGUGUGAAAGGCGCGGGCUCAACCCGCGGACGGCCCAUGAUACUGCGAGACUAGAGUAAGGGAGGGGGAACCGGAAUUCUCGGUGUAGCAGUGAAAUGCGUAGAUAUCGAGAGGAAGACUCGUGGCGAAGGCGGGUUCCUGGACAUUAACUGACGCUGAGGCACGAAGGCCAGGGGAGCGAAAGGGAUUAGAUACCCCUGUAGUC